UUGAGUCAUGCCUUUCUAUUUGAAGAAAGAUAAAUAGAAGAUAAAUGUGGGAAAAAGUUUUCCUUCACUAAAAAUCAUGAAAAAUUCACCAAAGUCUCUACAAUACGCCUUCAACCCACUGUUAAAGUUUCACCCUCAGAAUCAUUGUAGGUUUUGAGAUAAAAUUGGUUAAGUACAUGCUACCUUUGGAUAAUAAAAUAAUUUUAAUUAUUUUUGUACUGCUCCAAUGGAUCCCAAAUUUUUACAGUAACUCACUGAUGACCUGAGUGAGAUACUGCUUAUUUCUCAGUGGUAUAUGUUACUGUUUGGAUAUGGAAACAAAUUUUGGAAGAUGAAUCAGUUUAAAUGAAUAAAGAGAAAGCUAAGUCCUAGUAAGCUUAAUUGGUAAUUUUUGGAAGAGGUACAUAAAAAAAUUCAGAAAUAAAUGACUUUCCAAAUGAACCCCGAACAAUCCUAAAAGUGACCCCCACCUUCCUUGUGGGAAAUAUUGGAUGAGGUACAGAAAAACAUUCAGAAAUAGGAUAACUUUCCAAAUGAAUCUUGACCAACCCUAGAGUGACCCCACCUUUCUUUUGUGAAGUCUAAGUUGUGAAACCUUAUAUAUGUACACAAUCACCAUCAAAGUCAACCCCGAGUUUUAAACAACAACACACCUUACUUCAUGAAGAUAAUGAAAGUUUAGAAUCUUGUUUAGGUGAAUGUGGUCGAAAUGCAACUUACACUUCAACAAAAAAUUCAUGUCUUGCAUCCUUCAUAU
rnacentral:lncRNA from 1 species